ensembl:lncRNA
GUGGGUUAAUAUAGGCUAAACUUUGGUUUUUUGCAGUUGUUUUCCAGUCUUACUGAUAAAAGUGUCUGGUCAGAUUCUCAUAGUUAGACUGAUACAUGCCGGGGUUUAGCCUGAUUGUUGAUGUUAGGGUGAAUCCAGAUAACAGAAAGAGAUCCUGGGUAUGCUGAACUUGCCUCAGAAGCCAUGACCCUUUGUUGCCUGCUUGCUUGCAGUGGAUAAAAAGAGCUUAUAAACUGCACAGAUAUGAUUCCCUCUGCAACUUGGACAUCCCCGUCAUUAACAUGGAACUGGACAGUAUUUUUGACUUGACCCACAUCUCCCCCUUCAGGAACUCAGUGGCACAGCUGGAAUCAGCCAACAGCAAAGAGGACUCUGAGGAAGAGUCUGAGAGCACAGUGCUAUGACGCCACCGAGUUCCCCCACCCUCUCCGUCAAGCUACUGCUGCGCCGUCUCGAUCAUUCAUUGACCUUUCACCUCUCCAGCUGCAUUAACUUCGGCCUCAGCGGCCACCUCUGGACCUCCUCAUCACGCCUCACCUGUGCUCAAUCCAGAGGGGCCAGCGUGUACAAAAGAAAAAAGCACUUCUAUACAGUAAAAUAAAAAAAUCUGGUGAACACACAUACACACGGUUUUGGCGACAGUGUUGUCAGGGGAAGAUUUGACAUUUUGCAUUGGCUGGAUGUUUGUUUUUUUUAAUUUAACUUAAUGUUUUCUUUUUCUUUUUGCCUUAUUUGAUUCACUUGCAAUAUUGCCUUUAACCUCACUCACACGAGACUGGAAACAGGCUGCUGGGAGGAUGAGUGCUCUUUGCUGCUGCUGCUUUUCAUGAGUGAAUUUCAGAACAAACUAACACAGUGCUGUACAUCUGUCCUGUUAACUUCCUUCUCUCACCAUUCAUCUCCUCUUGGCUUGAAACGCCUCUGGCCCCGAAUUUCAGUCCCACUUGAGCGUUCACUGUGAGUGUGCCAGUGUGUCGUUUUGGAAAGCGCGCGUGUGUUUUGCUAGUGUGUGUGACGUGUUAAGUGAAGUGGUAAUUGUAUUAUAUGAUGUUGCACUGUCGGUGUCGUGGAGCAAAAACAGGAAUGAAUGUUUUAGAUGUUUAGAAGUUAACUAAGCAGGUUGGGAAGCAGUUAAACGCCCAAUCACUCCUUUCUCUUUAUAACAAGGCAUUCAGUCAGGAUAUCAGUCACUGGAUAUUUAUUGUUUAUACUGUACAUUUUCAGAGUGUAUGAUAUGAUUAACAAUCUAACUCAGAUCAUAUUUUGUAUCCACGGGAGAGCUAUAUAGUUGAUGCUGUCAGGGAGCUAUAAAGUAUAUGAGAUACAUGCUGUAGUUUAUGAAACGUCCAGCAGUAUGAAAAAUGAAAAACUCAAUUGUGUUUACUCAGAAAUAUUUUUUGGCAGGGCGCAAAGCCGCAUGAGAUCUUUCAUUUCUCUUUGUCGAGUUAGGCAUCAUUUCAGUUUCAAGGAUGUACAAGUUUGUAACUAUGAAGCCUGGAGUGCAUAACCACAUCGUUUAUUUUUUUAAAAUUAAAUAAAUUUCAUCUACAGAGCA